GUUGUGGAUUUUUAGUAUGGUGUACAUGAUCGGGGUCGGUUAUAUGAUGUAUACAUGCAAGUGUGCCGGCUGAUGCGAGCCAAUAGAAGAGGAGAAGCCAUGGAGAAAGGAUUAGGAGAGAUGUUCCAUGCCCUUAGCUACUGCCUUCCCAACACCAACUUAGGCUACAUCAGCAAGAGUGAAGUUGUGCAAAAGGGAAGAUGGACUCGUGGUCAGCUUUUUU